CUCGAACUAUCAUGAGAGGUACAGCCUGCCCAGUGACCCAAUGUUCAACGGCCGCGGUAUCCUAACCGUGCGAAGGUAGCGUAAUCACUUGUUCUUUAAAUGAGGACUAGUAUGAAUGGCAUCACGAGGGUUAUACUGUCUCCUUUUUCCAAUCAGUGAAACUAAUCUCCUCGUGAAGAAGCGAGGAUUAUUUUAUAAGACGAGAAGACCCUAUGGAGCUUUAAACUAACCAGCAUUUGCUAUAUUAUAUAAUUUUUCAGAAAUAUAAAAAACAGCUUAGCUCUUUGACUAUAAGUUUUCGAUUGGGGUGAUCACGGAACAAAAAAUAACUUCCGUGCCGAAAGGACUAUUCCUGAGCCAAAAGUGACAACCUUAAGCACUAAAAAAUUAACGCUUAUUGACCCAAUAAUUUGAUCAACGAAC
rnacentral:rRNA from 1 species